rnacentral:rRNA from 1 species
AACGAACGCUGGCGGCAUGCCUAACACAUGCAAGUCUAACGAGACCUUCGGGUUUAGUGGCGCACGGGUGCGUAACGCGUGGGAACCUGCCCUUAGGUCCGGAAUAACUCCCCGAAAGGGGUGCUAAUACCGGAUAAUGUCUUCGGACCAAAGAUUUAUCGCCUUUGGAUGGGCCCGCGUUGGAUUAGCUAGUUGGUAGGGUAAAAGCCUACCAAGGCUACGAUCCAUAGCUGGUCUGAGAGGAUGAUCAGCCACACUGGGACUGAGACACGGCCCAGACUACUACGGGAGGCAGCAGUGCGGGAUAUUGGACUAUGGGCGGAGACCUGAACCAGCAAUGACGCGUGAGUGAUGAAGGCCUUAGGGUUGUGAAGCUCUUUUAUCCGGGGUGAUAAUGACAGUACCGGGAGAAUAAGCACCGGCUAACUCCGUG